GUGCCAUUUACUCUGAUGUGAAGAUGGGAGCUGCAGAGGACAACCUGAUGUAUGCUGAGAUUAACCACCACAAAAAAGAAAAAGCCAAGAAAAACAAAGGAAAAUCAAGUCCUGAAUCAACCAAUGAAGCAGUUUACUCCAGUCAAAUUAGAA